AAAAUAUCUAGUCCCUAAUCGCUAUUUCAGUAAUGCAGUUGCAAUGCACGUGAACCGUGUUGACAUUUAAAAGCUGAAGUGUGAUGAUGAUUCUUGCUAUUAUUUAAUCUAAAAUUAACUUUAAAAAAAUGUCAUUUCUGAGGUGUAACUACUUUUCCAGGUAGAUGAAUCUGUUUACUGACUUCCAAACAGUAGUGACUCCUGUCUGGUAUCCUUGCGCAUAUUAUGCAAAUGUUGCUGCGGUUGUCAUGACAACAGAUUUAAAUUCAGUGUCGCACAGUCAGGAAGAGAUUCUAGUGCACAAGUCUCAUGGUUUUAGUGUGUACUUGACUUGCAUUUUUAAAUGCAUUAAUGUAACGGCAUUUUUUUUCCUGACAAACCUAAAAUUCCUACGAUCAACAUGCUGUACCCAAAAGAUUUCUUUAAUUAAAUCAUAAGGUAUAAAUUCAUAUAUUUAUAUAGUGUAUAUUGCAGUCUCUGCAAAAUGAUUGAUCAGAACGUGUGGGAACCCGGAGCUCUGCACAUGAAUGUGUGCGUAGAUGCUUUAACAGACGCAUAGGACAAAGAGGAGAACUUUGUAAAUGCAUUGUAAAGAGCUUGAUAUUUGUAUAGUUUCUAUAUCGUACCAGGUCAGAGUAUCGGGAUGUGCAGGUAGAAUAAUUCUACUUCCUGUCUUCCUCCCUAACAAAAAGUGUCUCUGUCGUCUGCACUUGACCUGCGCAGUGCAGGGCUGUUUUAUCUCCUCCUUUAUUAGUAACAGGUUUUUAACGUGUACGGUUCUCUGUCCAGAGCGACAGACAGAUUGGGAUUUUCAUCAUAUAUUGUAGACAGUGCUUUAGUUUUAAUAGUCAGGCUUUCAUGGACAGCUGACGGCCAGAGUUUGUGCAAACUAGUGCCUGAUGUCUGCGUUGAAACUGCGAUCCUGUUGCACUGAUUGUGUAGUUAGAAUUGCACAUUUGUGAUAGUUUUCAAGCCUGAACGUGGCAUACAGCACGUUUCAUCUAGGUUUGCGUGUUUUGUUUCUUAACGUCCCUUUCAUUUCAAGGUCCACGAAUGUUCACGCAAUCAUGCAACCCAUCAGGUUCGGCCUCAGCGGCACCUUUAUGGCAAUCAAGAAGACGUUCUCACUUACCUGUGCUCCUCUUCUCAUAGAUCCAGCUGGGAGGAAGUCUCUAUUUUUGCUUUUUUAAUAUGUUCUCUAGAUCAUAAUUGAGGAAUCAGUGCACUGACGUCUUUUCAGACAUACUGUCUCCAGUCCCACGGAUCGGGUGGUUUACUUUUGUACAUGGCUUUUAGGCUAGCGUGGACUGGCAAGGUUUUCAGAUAUAAUGAAUGAAUCAUAUUGUAAUCAAAGCAUAGCUGCGCACUUGGAGAAUCUACAGUUUUUUCUUUUAUUUUUCUUGGGGAAUUGCACCAUGCUGUUUUGUUGUUUUGUUGUUUUGUUCUCUCUGAUUGGUUGUUUGAAAAUCGGGAAAUAUCAGUGAAUGUACAAUGGUGUGUUUUUUUUUUUCUUCUUGCAGCUCUUUUUCUUGAAUUGGUUAUAAAGUUAACAAUUAACAGUAUAUCUAAUAAAUUUCGAGUCAUGCUUGGUCUUUUA